UGAAACAUCACAGUACAGUAAGGAAGCUGUUGUUCAGGGAUGACCACAAAUGCCCUUAAUAGAGUAACAAGCUGUACUAAGGGCCAUGGAGCAGGUCCAAAAAUCCCUCAGAUAUCUAGGACGGUAGCUUUUCUGUAGGACAGACAGUUGGGCGUUAAUUGCUGAGUAGACUCUUUAACCUCCAGGCAACUCGUGUUGGUUUUCUAAAACCUUUUUAACUUUGCCAUGGAUCUUUUCAGGUGAUCGUCUGUCCUUAGACAGACUCCGACCCAAAACCUGGCUAGGAGGAGAAGCAUGUGUCCUGUUUAUAAAGUGUCCCAGAGGAGUCACAGAGCCAUUCGUUUUUAACCUGUCAUCUGUAUCAUUAUCUACCAAACUUAUCAGAACCAUUAUUUUCUUAGAUUAAAAGCUUGUAAUGGGAAAAAGGCUCAAAAACAACAACAACAAAAAACCCCAAACAAGAACCCAACAGAUCACAUAGUUGAAGAGAGUAAAAUUGACCUGUACCAAAGCAUGGGAUUCUUUGGGUGGAAUUUCUAACGUAAGAACCACAAAGACUCUCUUCAGCCUUCACCAUAGUGCCUAGACAUCUAAGAUGCUCCCUCGCACCACCCUGUUUCAAGGACCAGACCUUCAAAUAUUUCUUUAAUCUUCCUCUUAAUUCUCUAAAGAGUCAUCUCCCUAGGCUACCCUCAGGAGCAUUGCAGAAAGUGUAAGUAAAUUGAGUCAAGGUCUCUUUAUCGGUGCAGUAAUAUCCACUUGGGAACAGGACAUUGAAUUUGAGAAUACCCAAGAUCUAGGGAGGAGAGGGAGCUUUAGAAUGUGUUUGAGGAGGUAAAUGUACAAAGUUUAUGUAUUUAGGGCUGGUGGAGAAAUCUU
rnacentral:lncRNA from 1 species